AUGAACGCUAGCUACAGGCUUAACACAUGCAAGUCGAGGGGCAGCAUGGUCUUAGCUUGCUAAGGCCGAUGGCGACCGGCGCACGGGUGAGUAACACGUAUCCAACCUGCCGUCUACUCUUGGACAGCCUUCUGAAAGGAAGAUUAAUACAAGAUGGCAUCAUGAGUCCGCAUGUUCACAUGAUUAAAGGUAUUCCGGUAGACGAUGGGGAUGCGUUCCAUUAGAUAGUAGGCGGGGUAACGGCCCACCUAGUCUUCGAUGGAUAGGGGUUCUGAGAGGAAGGUCCCCCACAUUGGAACUGAGACACGGUCCAAACUCCUACGGGAGGCGGCAGUGAGGAAUAUUGGUCAAUGGGCGAGAGCCUGAACCAGCCAAGUAGCGUGAAGGAUGACUGCCCUAUGGGUUGUAAACUUCUUUUAUAAAGGAAUAAAGUCGGGUAUGCAUACCCGUUUGCAUGUACUUUAUGAAUAAGGAUCGGCUAACUCCGUGCCAGCAGCCGCGGUAAUACGGAGGAUCCGAGCGUUAUCCGGAUUUAUUGGGUUUAAAGGGAGCGUAGAUGGAUGUUUAAGUCAGUUGUGAAAGUUUGCGGCUCAACCGUAAAAUUGCAGUUGAUACUGGAUAUCUUGAGUGCAGUUGAGGCAGGCGGAAUUCGUGGUGUAGCGGUGAAAUGCUUAGAUAUCACGAAGAACUCCGAUUGCGAAGGCAGCCUGCUAAGCUGCAACUGACAUUGAGGCUCGAAAGUGUGGGUAUCAAACAGGAUUAGAUACCCUGGUAGUCCACACGGUAAACGAUGAAUACUCGCUGUUUGCGAUAUACUGCAAGCGGCCAAGCGAAAGCGUUAAGUAUUCCACCUGGGGAGUACGCCGGCAACGGUGAAACUCAAAGGAAUUGACGGGGGCCCGCACAAGCGGAGGAACAUGUGGUUUAAUUCGAUGAUACGCGAGGAACCUUACCCGGGCUUAAAUUGCAGAUGAAUUACGGUGAAAGCCGUAAGCCGCAAGGCAUCUGUGAAGGUGCUGCAUGGUUGUCGUCAGCUCGUGCCGUGAGGUGUCGGCUUAAGUGCCAUAACGAGCGCAACCCUUGUUGUCAGUUACUAACAGGUUCCGCUGAGGACUCUGACAAGACUGCCAUCGUAAGAUGUGAGGAAGGUGGGGAUGACGUCAAAUCAGCACGGCCCUUACGUCCGGGGCUACACACGUGUUACAAUGGGGGGUACAGAGGGCCGCUACCACGCGAGUGGAUGCCAAUCCCCAAAACCUCUCUCAGUUCGGACUGGAGUCUGCAACCCGACUCCACGAAGCUGGAUUCGCUAGUAAUCGCGCAUCAGCCACGGCGCGGUGAAUACGUUCCCGGGCCUUGUACACACCGCCCGUCAAGCCAUGGGAGCCGGGGGUACCUGAAGUGCGUAACCGCGAGGAGCGCCCUAGGGUAAAACUGGUGACUGGGGCU
rnacentral:rRNA from 1 species